rnacentral:sRNA from 1 species
AUUGCGCCAGGGAUGGCAGCGGCAUCCUUUUGCGGCCGCAGUCCCGACACUUCGGGACGGAGGCCGUAAAAGAUACAGCGGACAGCCCGCCCGUGG